rnacentral:rRNA from 1 species
UACGUAGGGUGCGAGCGUUGUCCGGAAUUACUGGGCGUAAAGAGUUCGUAGGCGGUUUGUCGCGUCGUUCGUGAAAACUUGGGGCUUAACUCCAAGCGUGCGGGCGAUACGGGCAGACUUGAGUACUACAGGGGAGACUGGAAUUCCUGGUGUAGCGGUGAAAUGCGCAGAUAUCAGGAGGAACACCGGUGGCGAAGGCGGGUCUCUGGACCGUAACUGACGCUGAGGCGCGAAAGCGUGGGGAGCAAACAGG